AAAGGCACUCAAACAGAAAAGGAAGUCAGAGUAUGAUUUCUGCUGAAGCUGGAACUUCUAAAUGUGCAAUGUUUAUGUGGUGCUUCUAAAGCAGACAGUCACUGCCAGCUGUCCGUAGCCUCGGUGUUCAGGUGUCAAGGACAUCUCCAAGACAACACAAGACUUGUGCUUGCCAGUAACUUGUUAAGCAGCUGACCAUGUAAAUCCAGGUGUGGGUGAAGAAUCUGAUGAAUUAUACCCACAUUUUUGGCAAGCUACACUAGAUAUGUGUUUUCAUGGAUGUGAGAGACUCUGUUUUCUGUUACAUUAAUAUUGAUUGUGCAUGCCAAAAUAAACUAUUAUUCAAUACAGUGUGUUAUAAAAAACAAAUUUGUAUACUUGAAAAAUCUAGAUUUUGUUUAGAUUUUUAAUCAAAAAAAUAGAAUAUUUUAUAAUCUGCUUUUAUAGCCCAAUUUGGGUGACCAUCUGUAGGUUUUUCCAAUCUAACAAUUGGAGCUACCCAGUUCUCUUAUACUCAACCUCUCCUAUACAGUGAAUAAGAUUCCCAGAAUAUUUGUCACCUAGUGUCAUUGUGAACCUCCUGUUUUUCUUUUCCAUCGAAUAUCUACUUCAUACAUAAACUCUUAUUUUGAAAUACAAUAAAGAUAGAGAUAGACAAUCCACUUGCAAAUUAUCAAUUGUUUUUGACAAUUUGUAUCUUCGACGAUAUUUUCAUAAUAAUUCCUGAUUUAAUCAUGUUAAUCGAAUCAUUUAGCAUUAAUGACUGUAAAAAUGAUUGUAGAAGUUUAUUGCAUAGUUCAUGUAAAAAAGUUUCAAUUUAUCAAUAUUAUUUAAUCUAUAAUUACAUAGACUUAUAGGAGAGAUAUGAGUGGGUUAUGAUUCCACAUUCAGAGUGCUGUUUAUUUUCUCUUAUGAAUGAAAUAUUUUUAUCUGUCCAGAAAACCUUUGUCUGUACAGUUCUAGUACAUGCAUUAUUUAUUUUUGGUGUAUAAAAGUCAUUGCUGAGAUUUAUCAGUUGUUUGUUUGUAUGUGCAUUGUUAAAGAACAUAUUCAGUGAACAAAAUAAGCCAAUUUAUAUGUGCAUUAAAGUAUCAUGUAUUUUGUAUAUAUUGUUAAUGAGAGGUUGUAAGUGUAGUAAAUUAAGAAAGAAGUUGUUUUAUAAAUAUCUAAUUAAUGAUUUGUUGGAAAAUAAGUGUGUGUUUUUUUUUUAAUUCUAGGAAAAAUUCAGGCUGACCACAUUUCAUAAAAGGACGGUAGUUCUUUCUGUCCUCCAAUUGUUUAGAUUUUGAUAUUUUUUGCUUCAUAGAAUUGAUCAGAACAAAAGUCUGCUUCAUAGCCAAUGUGAAAGGGCUAGAUUAAAAUGAUUUUAGUUGACUUAUUGGAUGUCAGGGAAAAAGAUACCAAUGAUACUCACUAUUUUUAUUGCAUAGGUCAACACAAGUAAACAUAAAUGCUUGUUUAUUUUAUGAAAUGAAACAUAAACAAAAAGGACAAUAUUAGCUGCACUGAUACUGUAAUGACUAGCUAAAAGCAAUCAGGUUUAACAAAUUUAAAGGGUCUAUAUUACCGAGUGCUAAUAUAAGAAAUGAGAAAACCAAAAUGAUGUUUCCUUUUUAUGUGUCGUGUUCAGUUUUAAUCUACAAUGAAAAGAUAUGUACCGGUACAUGUAGAUUUAUAUAAACAAGAAACUUUUCAGAUGAGAAGAUCACCAUUACUAUGUUAAUACAUGUAUACAAAUCAACAAAUACAUGUAAUUUUACAUACCUCUCUACUAGAUUUUUUAAAGAGCAUGAAGUUUAGCUACUAAAAAAAACUAUUUAUAGAUAUAUUAAUGUUACAUUUUUUUUUCUUUUGUCAUUAAAUUUAGAUGUCAUUGAAUUUCUACUUAAAGGGGUCUUGUUGAUCAAAAUGUCUAAAAACCAUGAAAUCCUGAAAAAUUGUUGAUAUUGAAAUGCAUCCUUUUUCCUUUGUACAUACAAAUGAAAUUAAAUUUAUAAUACUGCA